rnacentral:lncRNA from 1 species
GGUAUCAUUGAUUUGAGAAUUACUUUGAUAUUCUCAUUUUGUGAAUUUACCAGGUAAAUAUAAAUAUAUGCUGUGCUUGGGAUUUCAUUGUACCAAAAUUUACCAGUGGCUUAUGAAAGGAUUUUCACAGAGGAGCAAAGACUCAUUUUACUCACUUUUUCUCACUUUCACUCAUUUAAUCUCUUCUUUUUCUCUUGUGAAUCAAUUGCUUUUUAGUAACCAACAAAAGUAGGAUCAACAUGGGUAUUUAAUGUGAAUAUAAUUCUUACCUAUUUGCUCAUUUGUUUUUAAUUAGUGUUUGCCUUUUAUUUUUCAGUUACUCAAAGCAAGAACAAGCAUACAGGAGUGAUAAUUGGUAAGCACACUCCCCUCCACCAUGCCUAUCUUUUCCAAUCUCUUAAAAGUACCUUUUUUUCUUUUCCAAUUACUGCACAAGUUUGAGUUGUCAUUGCUUGUUACUUAAUAAUAUGUAGGAUUUUUUUCACUGUUGAUUUGAAAUCAAAUUUGAGUAAGGUUUAAAUCCAACUGUGAUGCGACACGACACUCCAAUAACAAGAUGAUUCUGUUUGUGAUAUUAAUGUCUAGCAUGGAGAUUACCUCUAAAAUGAAGAAGAAAAGGAAAGGGGGAAAAAAAAAAACCAGCGAAAAUAAAAACAACUAAGAUCGAUCGAUUGAUCGUCGAUCGAGUAUCGUUAUGAAUGGUGUACUAACUUCUGAAAUCAUAAUAAUCUGCAGGAAGUUCAGUAGGUGCAGCUGCAGGCCUCGUCGGUCUAUGCGGCCUCUGCGUGUUUCUGUACAUCCGAACACGGAGGCGGCGGCAUUCGCCUUCGUCGUCAAAUCUCAUUCGCAAUGCAUCUUCGUCCGUUCCGAACUCCUACUCCAAGUCCAAGGACCCAGAAUUAGGAGGAGGCAGCAGUGUCUUCUACCAGACUCACCUCUUCUCCUACGACGAGCUCGAGGCGGCCACUGAUGGCUUCUCUGACUCCCGAGAGCUCGGCGACGGAGGCUUCGGCACCGUCUACAAAGGUUCAUACUAACAUAUUCAGUUCCUUUUUACUAUAAAUUAUGACUUUGAUCUUGGUUUCAUUCUAUUAGUUUUACUUUAGUAGUUCAGUCCCUAAAAAUUGUUCAGCACUAUAGCUAGACUUUGCAAGAAUUCAAAUUUCAAGAAGGGGCUGGUUGGUAACAAUGAACUGCAAUGACGCGAGUUCGCUCCGCACACGAACUCACGAGAUCAUGAGACGUCUCGUGCACGAAGCCCGGCUCAAACUUGCGGGACUCAUGUUCAGCAAGUGACUUGAGAAAAAAUGAAAUCAAGUUUCAGCGUCUAAAUUGUUACGAUUGAAACUCGAAGAACAAGAUUAACUUGUCGGUUUUACUCUGAAACAAUCUUGUUGAUGAUCAGGAAUUCUGCGAGACGGUCGGGUAGUGGCGAUCAAGCGGUUGUACGAGAACAAUUGGCGGCGUGUGGAGCAGUUCAAGAACGAGGUGGCAAUCCUCUCCCUCAUCCGCCACCCAAACCUCGUGGCACUCUACGGCUGCACAUCUCGCCACAGCCGUGAGCUUCUCCUCGUCUACGAGUACAUCUCCAACGGCACCAUUGCUGACCACCUGCACGGCUCACGUGCUGACGAGCGUGCAUUGACGUGGCCGCGCCGUCUAUCUAUCGCAAUCGAGACCGCCGAUGCCCUUGCAUACCUCCACGCAGUGAAUCCCCCCAUCAUCCACCGCGACGUAAAGACCAACAACAUACUGCUGGAUGCCGACUUUCACGUGAAGGUCGCCGACUUUGGCCUCUCGCGGCUUUUCCCUCUAGACGCCACGCACGUGUCGACGGCGCCGCAGGGCACGCCGGGAUACGUGGACCCGGAGUACCACAAGUGCUUCCAGCUCACCGACAAGAGCGACGUGUACAGUUUCGGCGUGGUUUUAGUCGAGCUCAUAUCGUCGAUGCCGGCCGUGGACAUAACACGGCGGCGCGACGAGAUCAACCUGGCCAACAUGGCGAUACGUAAGAUACAGAACUGCCAGCUCGAGGAGCUGGUGGACGCCGCGCUCGGGUACGAGGAGGAUCUCGCGACGAAGAGGAUGAUCACGAUGGUGGCGGAGCUCGCGUUCCGGUGCCUACAGCCGGACGGCGAGAUGCGGCCGCCGAUAAGGGAGGUGGUUGAGGUGUUGAGGGGGAUACAGAGAGAGGGCUACAACAAGAACAGUGAGGGGGAGGAAGGAGACAUUGUGGUGAAGGAAGAUUCAGGGCUGCUUAAGAAUAUCCCUCCCUUCUCACCUGAUUCUGUUGCUGCUAAGUGGCCGAGUAGGACUACAACACCCAACACUAGCGAGUAAGAGUAAUCAAUCACAUAUUUACUGCCGUUGAAACGGGCGGAAUAGUUGUGCAUUUUGUGAUGUUGUGUAGAUGUUUUCCUGUUCUAAGUUUACUUACUCUUUUGAAUUUGAGGGCAGUGUACAUAUCAGUUAAGAGUGUUUAACAGCAUAUAUGAGAGAUGAUUAACUAGUCCCUGUUCUUCUUUCCCCACUGAACAAAUAGAACAAGACUACAAAAUAUUGCGAGACAGGAACUGCAGCUGGCUGAACAACUCCACCCAAAAGCCGACCGAGCAGCGAGUCAAAAGCAGCUACUAACAUGUUGGCACUGAAGCUUCAUUGAACUGUUUACUAGCACACCAGCACAGCCACCGCCGUCGGAUAAGAAGGUCAUAAAAGAGGAAGAGCGAUGGACACUUAAGAGUGCGCCAACGAAGAAGUGCACCGACAAAGGAAGAAACAAUGGAAGAGACGAUAUAAUAGUAAAUCUAGGAACUAAACUCAGAACCUCUUAAAAUGGAGAGAAUUUAGGACCGACUCUGAUAUAAUGUUACCCAAAAAAUCGAUCUAGUAAAAGAGGGUCUCAAAUUAAUCAUCACAGACCUUAACCAAGGAAGUCCCCACAUUCAUUGAUAAUCUCCAUCAAAAGGCCUAAAUCGACAGACACAAAAACUAAGCUCGAAAGGGACCUAUCGAAAGUGGCGGAAGAGAAUUAGAGGGUGGGAAAAAAAGAGAGUGGUGAGAUUAACAAGGGAAGAAGAACAUUGGAGAAGGGAAAAAGGGAGGACAAGGAGAGAAGCAAAAGAAUAACCAACCAAAACAUUCCUCAUACAUCUUUGUUUCUCCUUUCCUCUUCAAAACCAAAGUACAGUUAGUACCAAACAUCUUAAUAAGUAAACAAAAGUCAAAAUAGCAACUAAAAGCACAAGAAAAGCCUUAUCUCGUAACAACACUAAGGGGCCGUUUGGUUGAAUGUAGUUGCAGAAAUAAUGUAGUUAGAAAUACAUGCAGUUGCAAAUGUUGUAGUUGUAACUACACCUAGUCUGUUUGGUUUUAUACAGUUGCAACUGCUGCAGUUACAUUUUUUCUGUUUGGUAAUAUGUAGCUGAUAGUUGUAUUUGUAAAUUUUGUCACCUCUUCAGAUAAAAUGAUGAGAUUACCUUCGCUAUGCAUAAAAUAAUUGUAUAAUUUUAUUAAUUAUUCAAACUUACUAUUUAUAAAUAAAUAAAUAGAUAUAUAUAUAUAUAUAUAUAUAAUAUUUUUUUAUUUUUCAAUAAUUCUUCAACUUAUUAAUCGACACAUUUAAAAUUUUUAAUUUAUUUAAUUUUAAUAUGUAAAUCAAACUUUAAAAAUUUAAACGAUUCUCUCAUUUUUUUUAUCAAAUUUAAUAAUUAUAAUUAAUUAAAACUUAUUAAGUUAACAUACACAAUCACAUUCUAUAAAAUUUAGAAAAACUAUUUUUAUAUUUUAAAUAAAUAAAUUUUAAAAAAUUUAAUUUUUGCACAAAUUGUAUUGCCUAAAAAAUUUAUUUGUAUGAGUUUAUUUACAAGUAUUUUUACUUCUAUCCCUAUUAUAUUAAAUUCUUAUAUAUUAUUUUAUUUUGUAUUUUGUGAAGGUGAUUAAUCCUCACCAACCAGCCCCCAGCAUUUGGACCUUCUUGUGCAGGUGGAACUGCAGCAGUUGGAUUCAACUGCACUAAACCAAACAUAGGAAUUGAGGUUGCAUGCGUUUGCAACUGCACCGCUGUUGCAAAUGCGUGCAACCAAACAGCCCCUAAGAAGCUCACGGCUCCGCCUUUUGUUGGAACCGGUUAGCUUCAACCUAGCCUUCGCAAAAUACAAUCCUUAAGAUCCAAUAUCAUAUCCAACAAAUCUUUCAGUAAUAUAAAAGCUCAAAUUCGUAAAAGAUUGAAUUCAAAACAAAUCAUCCUUUUCUCUAUAAGAAGCCCCAAGAGACAAAGAACUGUCCAGAAUAUUCGACAAAAACUAACAAGAGUGAUUGUAUAUAUCUACCAAGAAAAACUGACCAUGUCGGUCCGAAGAUGUCCCACCAGAUGUCCAACUGUAAGAAGGGCAAAAGAGCAUAUGCUAUUGAGUUGUAUUGAUGCAAAUAUAUAAUACAAGAGAUAUAUCAAAUAUAGUAACAAAGCCUAGUAUAGUAAGAAUACAAACGAGAUUAGAUACCGUAUAAUCCUACUCUGUAUAUAAUAGUAAUAUACAGUUUUCUAAUAUAGAGAAUAAUGCUAAAUAUGUCGUAAUAUCCCCCCACAAACUAAGUAUCCAUUGGAUGGAUGCGAAGAUCGAGCCGCAGUAUAGAAAAUCGAGAUGGUGAUAAAGGCUUGGUGAAAAUAUCAGCAAGUUGUUUAUCGAAAGAGAUAUGAACCAACUCCAAAUCACCGGUCUGAACAUAUUCGCGCAAGAAUUGACAGUCGAGUUCAAUGUGCUUUGUGUGAGCAUGAAGAAUAGGAUUGGCCGCAAGAUAAUUGAUGCUAAGGUUAUCACAGUAGAUGCUGAUAGGCCGCCAGAGGAAAACACCAAGGUCGCAAAGUAGAAAGCGGAUCCAUAUUGUCUAAGCAAGCGCGUAGGCUACAGCACGAUACUCCACUUCAUAACUAGAGCAAGAAAUGGUAGGCUGCUUCUUAACGAACUAGGAGAUAAAAUUGGGCCCGAAAAAUAUGCAAUAUCCGGAGAUAGACCGUCGGGUAUCUGGACAACCAGCCCAAUCAGCAUCUGCAAAUGUUACAAGAGAAAGAUUAACGGAGCAAGAUAUAGGUAGGCCAUAAGUCAGCAUGCCCCGAAUAUACCGUAGAAUACGCUUAACCGCUUGCAUGUGAGAUUCACGAGGAGCAUGUAGAUACUAGGCAACGGAGUUGACGGCAUACGAUAUAUCCGGUCGGGUGAAGGUAAGAUACUGGAAAGCACCAACAAGCUGACGAUACCUAUAGGGUUCCUCAAGAGGACAUCCCUCAUGAGAAGAGAAACGAGAAAAUAAAAAAUAGUUUCAAUAAAGGUAACAUGCUGAGAAAUAAAAACUUUACCAGUGCUUGAAUGGAGACAGUGAAAACCUUUAUGUUUAUCAGAGAGUCCUAAGAAGAAACAAAGAAGUGAUCGAGUAGAGACCUUGUGAGUUGCAAUGUUCUGUAUAUCGAGAUAACACAAACAUUCAAAAACUCUGACAAAUUGCAAGUCAGAGGAUGAACAACCAUGCAUAGUUUCAUAUGGUAAUCGUCCUCUUAAAACAGUAAGAGAAUGAAUUCGAUUCACGAGAAAUACAGCAGUUUGGAUGGCAUCAACCCAAAAAUGAAGAGGCAUGCAAGCUUGAAACAGCGAACUUCUAACAAUGUUAGUUAAAUGUCUAUAUUUUCUUUCGGCAAGACCAUUUUGUUGUGAAGUAUAAGGACAAGAAAAGCGGUGAAGAAUUCCAUUUUGUGAACAAAGGGUAAAAAACUAAUCAUUUACAAACUUCGUACCACUGUCAGAUUGAAAAAUGUUGAUUGAGCUAUGAAAUCUGUUUUCUACCAUUGCUUUAAAUUCGAGUAAUUUGACGAAAACUUCAUGUUUAAAUUUCAAAAGAUAAAGCCAAAAAAAUCGAGAGUAAUUAUCAAUGAAUAUAACAUAAUAUUUAUAGUCAGAAACUGAUGGAACAGGUGAUUGCCAUACAUCAGAAUGCACAAUAUGAAAGGGAAAAGCAUAUUUGGAUUCAUAAUUAUGAAACGAAAGUUUAACAUGUUUUUCCAUAUUACAAACAUUGCAAAUGGAUAAUGUCUGAGUAGAAUUACCAUCAAAAACAAUGUUAUUAUUUUUAAUAAAUGCAGAAAGAACGGAAAGAUUAGGAUGACCUAACCGUCUCUACCAAACAUCACCACUAAACCUAGAUGCAACAAGACCUAUCUGUUGCUUAUUCCCUACACUUGCAACUUUAGAAGAGAUUGGAGUGAUGUUCCCGACUAGGGCAUCGAAAAAGCUUCGUCCCUAUUUCCUUGUCCUUCACAGAAAAACCUAAAGAGUCAAAUUCAAAAAAAAAUGAUUGUCAUGACAGAACUGACGCAUUGAAAAUAAUUUUCUCUUAAUAAAAUAAACAACAAGAACAUUUUUAAGAACAAAUGAGGUAGAAGAUGUAUUCAAUUGAGUUUCACCUGUCUGAGUAAUAUCAAGUAAAUUUUCAUUAAUAAUUAGAAUUUUCUCAUGUCCAAUAUAAGGUUUGGAAGAUGAGAGAAUGCCAGAAUUCACUAUCAUGUGAUUAGACGCUCUUGUGUCUGGAUACCACACUUCCUCACCAGAUUCAUGAAGAUUCAUAGCAGCAAAAAUCUGAGGGACAUCAUCGGCCACGAAUGAGUGAUUGAAGCAUUGUCUGUGCUGAAGUGUGAGACCCCAGAUAGUCCUAUAUAUGAGAUAUNAACCGGUCGAAACGAGCUAUUGGAUCGCUAUGAACGGAGUCCGAUACGCGGAGAAAGCCAACUCUACUCCGUGGCUUCACCGAAAAACCGGAGUUACUAUUCACUUAAGUGAAAACUAAUAAUCGCGUAACUCCUCCGUUUUAGCUCAUUUUGUCCUGAAACUUGACGAGUACUUAUAUAAUUAAAUUACACACAUAAACAUCAUCAACAGAGAGUUUAGUUGCACUGUCAAAUUUUCAGUCCUUACAUGAAGAGCAGAAUGGUUGUUCUUUCCACAAAUCUGACAUUAUGUGCCAGACUUCGGAAAAUAAGGUUGCUAAUUUGGAGUGUUAAGUUGAGGAGAAUUAUUAGGUGAAGAAUGUGGAUAGGUUCCAAGAGAUCCAUGACCAUGAUAAGAAUUGUGUUUACCGCGUUGUCCUCGACCUCUGCGAUGCCUUCCUCCACGGCCAGCACAAUUACCACGUCCACGAUUUGCAUAAAAGACUUCACCGUCAAUAGUGGGAGUAGCAGAGGACGUCGUUAAGCUAGUAUGACGUUGGACUUUUGCUUCUUCUUGCAGAAAGAGUGGACGUAGUUGUUUAAAGGUAAGCUUACUUCUGUGUGUUAAGGGCACUAAUGAAACCUCUGUAUUCUUCUGGUAGUCCAAACAGAACAGUCAUGACCAAAUUAUGGUCUGACUCAAUUUCACCAAUUGCCUGAAGAGCAUCACCAAUCGACUUGAUCUUCUGCAUGUAAUCACUCAUGCUCAUCGAACCUUUCUUGAUGCUUCGUAAUUCAAACUUUAGAGAGAAAGCCGUGGAAGCAGUUUUAUCAAGAAAAUAAGCUUCAAUGGUUCACCAGGCAUCAUAUGCAGUUUUGGAUGAGCAAAAAAUAACCAUUUGUAAUAUAUUAAAGAUAAGGUAGCAUUGAUCCACGAAAGUAUAAUAGUAUUUUCUUUUUUACAACUUAAAUAUUCAGAAUUUAUAACUAUCUUAUCAGCAGUAUCGAUAGUCUGAGAAAGGACAACACCAGUUUCGUCCACAUGUGAUGUAACACCAAAACUUUUUAGAACAUUAAGAAAAAUGUUUCCACACAAGAUAUGGAGAAUCAAUCAGUUCUAGUGGUAUAAGAGUUUUGAUGUUAACAACUGGCAAAUUUGAGAUAGAAGAAGACAUAUUUGUCACCUUAAGAGAAGGAUCCACCACUAAAUAUGAAAAAAAGAUAAAUCAGAAUGUAACGGAUGAGAAAAAGAAAUAACCUAAUUUCUACGAAACUGGUUGUACCCAGCGCACAAGAAAAGAACCACUUAGCACGAAACAAGAACGAUCGCACCAGGGAAAAGACCGAGCAACACCAAUAAAGCAAGAGAGGAAUCACAAAGAGGCCGAAAUUAGUGUAGCAGAACUACUGUAGCAGUACUAUAGCACCGGUACUGUAGUAUAGGGAUGGUACUGUAGCAACUGUAACACCACUGUAGCAGUACCGUAGCGCCGGACUGUAGACUACCAGGGAGAUUGAAGUCCAAGCAAAAUAGGAGAUAGAACACCAAAAGGAAAAUAACACCUAUGAAAGAAGGUGAAACUUGUGGUGGAUAAUAGUUAUGGAUCGAUAUCCCCAAAUUAGGAUUCCCGCUCUGAUACGAUUAAAGAAAAGCAAAAGAAUAUACCCUAUUGAGUUGUAUUGAUGCAAAUAUAUAAUACAAGAGAUAUAUCAAAUAUAGUAAGAAUACAAACAGAAUUAGAUACCAUAUAAUCCUACUCUGUAUAUAAUAGUAAUAUACAGUUUCCUGAUAUUGAGAAUAAUGCCAAAUAUAUUGUAACAACAACAUUUUGUGAGCAUGAAGUAGAAUAACACUUCCGAAGGAACAUGCUUUACCAAUUACGCUGUUUACUUAUUAAACACAAUACGAAAACUCUUCAGAGAAACAAAUGUUAAAGUGAACCACUUUAUUCUUUGGAACCAGAACAAUCAUACAGUUGAAGUUAACAUAUCUAGAAAUGCACAUACAGAUUAAGCAUCGCCUAACUUAUGCUUAUCUCAAAUUUUUCGAAUGUAAGCAAGUGCUCAACAUUUGAUCGUGAUUAGCAAAACAAUAAAUAGAGAAAAAAAAAAGUUACAACCAGCAGGAUGGAUGACCCAGUGAUGGUACAGAAAAUGUUAUGGAGAAAAAAAAUGUCAUACCAAAGUCAAGACUGUGAUGGCUCCUUUCAUCGGACAAUUAGCUAUACCAGUUUUUGGUCUUCGAACUAACCUUUGCCGCUUCUCCACGACAAUGCUACCAGUACCAAAUUAUGUCUUUUCCCAAUGGAGGAGGAUCUGUAAGGCGUCGAGUACACGAUUAUAGCAUCACUUGAAGUCUAAACAAAGUGAGUAACUUAUUCAAAUAAAUGCUUCAGUUAAGGCCAUGAUUGCUGAUCACCAAACUAAGCAUCGCCUCCUUCUGAACUUAUCGACAUCAUCUGAACUCAUCCUCGACUUCUCGGGAAGAUCUGCAGCCUUGGAUUUCACAACUCGACUGUCUAAACUGUUCCUCGAGGCCUCAGGACGGUGGGCGGCUUCCUGUGUUCGUGGUCUCUCAGAGGGUAUAAUCUCAAUAAUGUCCUUAUUGUUGUUAUGGGCGCCGUCUUUCACCGUUGGUUCUUUCGAGCCAUUCUUUGCAGCUUGCUUAGCAACAGACGAAAUGAAUUUCUUAAGGUGGCGUAUGAAGUCAGGGUACAACUCGAGAUUGCAGUGGCCGCCACCACUAAGCCACAAGGGCGUGUACUUUACUUUGCUAAGCUCCCAUAGCUGCUUUCCAUGUGAGCAGUCAACAACAUCAUCCGAUGUGCCCUGGGAAUAAAAAUAUUCAGUUAAACAAUCUUGUACCAACAAACAACUUACAAAAGACUCGAUUAUAUUUCCAUCAAUUUUCUACUGAUAAUAUUCCUACAGUCCAGCUUCUGAUGCUAAUUUCAUAUUUGAAGAAUUUAUUGCUACAGGACUACAAGCAGACCAACUCAACAAGGAAAACCUGGCAUAUAAACUAUACAAGCAACAGCUCAGAUCAUUCCGAAGUGAAAAAAAACUGACCAACAAAAGGACAUCAGCUGUAUAAUAUGCAAGCCCAAGCAUGAAAUUGGAAUAAUUGAACUCUCUACAAUCUUCACAAACUUUUCCAGAGAAGCAUCCAAUAUGCUAGUAUCACCAAGCAACAAGACAGGUUACACCUAAAAAGUACAGUAGGUCAAACCAGACAAGACUCCUUGGUUUCGAUCAAAAAGUCAUUGAAGAUGAUUUCCAAGCCAACCCCACUCAAAAGUUUGCCUGGGCCUUCCAAAACAGCAUUCUUGUCGUAGAACUAAUCUAUCACACAUGACAUCUGAUUUCACCAAUUAAAAGAAGCCACACUACCAAUUGAGCCUACUUUACAGACUGAUAGAUGUUAGAACCAUGCUGCCACGGUAUUUGAGGAGCAUCAUCACCCUCCUCCCAAACCAAAACCUGCCAAAAAAUCCCUCUUCCUUCUCUUUUCUCUUUCAAUAAUCAAAACCUGCAGAAAACCCCCACAUUUUAGCCCCUGUUCAUCAAUCUUCCACUAGGGUUUCAGUAGAAUCUAUUCUAAAGUAUACAUUAAAAGUCUUAAAUACCUGAAUUGCCCUCCCCUUUCGAAGCUAUCUUUAUGCUAAAGGACUGAUAGGAGUAAUUUUUGUCAUUUUACCCUCUCCUUUAUUGUUGUAGCCCCUUAAAGAGACUUCUCAUAAAGCCACGGGAAAUUUCUAUAGAUUUUGAUUAUCAAGAGCAACUUGUAUACUGCAUUUUUGAGGGGGAAAAAAUUAAAAAAAGAAAACCAAAAGAGGUUAUUAUCUCUUGGAACAUUACCAUAUUAAAACCCUUUAAUUGAGACCUUCCAAAACAAGAUUAUCUCCAUCUAAUUGCUAAAGCUAAGCCCCAUGGCCCCCAUCUAACAUUUUCAAAACCAGUUAACAGUGUUAAUCCAUGCCUGCUGAAUAUUGUGCAAGAAAAAGCUUUGUAACUUAACAUGCCUAAUGCAUGAGGCUCUCGUCACUGGAGUAUCUAGGAGGCAAGAGAUACAUAGCCUUACAUGGAAGCAGAUUUGUACGGCUCAAAGCAAUAACACUAGCCAACACAAGGAAAUCAAUGACCAUCCUACUAAAGUGAGACCUCCAAAAGUGUAGUACUGUAGUACAUGAGGGUGAGAUGUAUGCAUUCCGCCUAAGAAAAUUCUUAACUAUAAUAUAAAGUGAUGCUCUAUACCAAAUAAAUUAGAUGCAAGCAAACAAUUUAGUCUAAGCAUAUUUACAAAGGAAACUUGUUAUCAACCUUUAGCAUCAAGCUAACAAAAUGAGCCCGAUCAAAUUAUACUUUAGGGAAGGGGCAUUUCAAGUUUCUUGCACACAAUUUAAGCCAUAUUAAAAUCCAAGCAUAAUCUGCUUUCACCUUAUUAAAAAGCAAAUACCGUCCCUCGGUAAAUUAGUUACAGAACUAAGUGCCCAUUUUGAUUAGCAAGGAUUCCCUGCAGCCCAGUGCACAAGGAUUUCCUGCACACAGGGCCAUCCCACUGCUGAUGAGUGGAGGGUUCCCUCCACCCCAUGUACGGGAACUUCCUACUCACGGGUUUGCACCCAACAAGCAAGUUGGAGCUUCUACAAAAGUGGUUCUUGAGUAGGGCUUGUUCCUAGGAGGAUAAGGGACGCUCAUAAAUCAGGAUAGGGCAACUCACAUCACCUAAUUAAAAAGUUGGUUAGGCAAAGGAACUGCUUCUACAGAGGUGAUGCAAACUGGCUAUCCAACUCAAGUUAGAGUCAAUCCUGAAUUGGUUAUAUUGAUAUCUUACCUAAUCGAAGCCUAACAAAUCGUAAAAUUUCAUAAAUGAUAUUAUUAUUCAAUUUUGGGAAUUUUCUUUAUUUUAUUUGAUUGAGAUUUUAUUUGGGAUUCAAUUAAGAUUUGUGAUUCUAUUUGGAUUUGAAUUUGGAAUCAAUUAGAACUUAGUUGAUUAGUUUUCUUAAUUUUAUUUAAUUUUAUUUGGGAAGAUUUAAUUUGAUUUAGUUUUCUUUUGGUUUCUUAUUGUUACUACGAAACUUGGGAAUAGAAUUUUUUUAUUAAUAAGACCACAGCUUCAUAUUGUUACUACGAAACUUGGGAAUAGAAUUUUUUUAUUAAUAAGACCACAGCUUCAUAUUGUUACUACGAAACUUGGGAAUAGAAUUUUUUUAUUAAUAAGACCACAGCUUCAUUGUUAUUCAUACCUUGAGAAUUUAGGGGAAAAAAAGAAUGGAGAAUUUCUUCUUCCUUCGUGGAGACGAAGUUUUAGAGAGCAUAAUUGAAGCAAAUCCAUACAGGAGAGUCCGUCAUUCCAAUUUCUUCUUUCUCCAUUGGAUAACUUCCUAAACGGUGAUUUAAUAAUCUAAAUGAAUUCAACUUGAUACGUGGGACCCAAAACUGAACAACAAAACAGAAAACUUGGGAGUCACAUAAGCACUCUCGCUGUGUGGCUCCCUUUUCUUCACAUUGUGCCCAGAGGCGCAAAUCCCACGCAUCUCCUAAUUCUUUGGCAUGUUUUCAUGUGGACCCAUUCCUCCACAUUAUCAAGGAAAAAGAAGUGUAUAUGAUUCGCACCCUCCAUCAACACUGCACAUGCCGGCAUCUAAACCCAAGAGUAAUCUUUUCCUCCUUCAGGCGGCCACACCUUCACCAAGCACUGCAUCUGAGCUUCUACGCCAAAUCGGAGUUUCUCCUUGAAACAAUCCAGGGAUCAUUGCAUCAGCAAUCAACCAUCUGCGCCAGAAACUACAAUCAAACUUUCUAGCUUUGAGCAUAUCUCCGCCGAAACCCUGGAUUCUCCAAUUUGUCUUUCUGCAGUCGAACUUUAAAACAAUAAUCCCUUAUUUCCUCUACAAUUCUUUUUCCUCAUUUGUGAAAACCUAGUUUACUUUAUUUUAUACAUAUUAGAAACUCUAACAUAACCAAUCGUGAAUCAAUAAAUUGAAGGAACUUGGGUAUUUUUCCUUUGUUGCACAUUCAUUCCAAUUAACUUCACUAAAGCUUGACAAGUUAAUAUUUUGCAUCAACAAUUCCUGCAUGAAAUCAAAUUUUGCAAUAUUCCUGAUAAUUUUCAGAAAGUUUCAGUUUUCAAAGAUUAUUCUAUUUCAAAACUUUGGAACAACUCUCAAUUUCAUCGCACGUUCGCAUUGAGUUGCAUUAGAAGAGUUUUCUAGGUUAGGUUUAGUCUUUCAUCACAUGGUUGCAGGUUUAGUCUUUCAUCACACGGUUGCAUGGAAUUCAUUUGUUCUGUAUGACUGUAUCCCAUCAUAGAUCACUCAACAAUUUUGCAUCAAGUCUAACUUAGAAUUGGUUAGGCUUGGCGUGAGAUGGCCACAGAUUAGGACACGACAAGCUCUUUUCACUUAAGCAAAUGUUUGCUACACGCAGGCUUAGGUGAAGUAACAAAUAUCUGGCCGACUAAAUGGUUUUGUUAACAAAAAAUGUUCCUCUUGCCUUUCCUGACUCAACUCAGAUUUCGCUCAGCUCCAAUGUUGCCAAUCUUUAUCUUCAUUCGGAAAAUAAGUUUGAGAGCAACUGCCAAAGGAUGACGAAAUGCAUUAGUCUUUUCAUUGCAUCAAGGCUCCUCUUUUGUCACUUGGCUCUUUCACAGGAAACAACAUCUUAUUGUCUCUAUAAAUCCUAACUCAGAAAAACUAUUCCACAAAACAACAAGUCAUUCUAAACCAUAGCUAACAGCUUGUGCACCUUUCUUAUGGAUAAUCUUUCAAUAAGCCAAUAGCAAACUGAUUUUACUACUUAGAAAAAGUAUUCUGGAUAUAAUUCUACAGUAAUUUAUUUGCAGUUCCCCUAAACAUCUCACAACUUUUCUAAUAUUUACCUUCCUAACCCUUUCCCAUAAAAGUAGAUGGUGGCCCUUUUUCAGUGCAGAGCAUGAAAGAACACCUAAAAGCUGUUAUAAGAUAUGACUUAGUCAGAAGACUUGGAACAAGUUGAAACACACAAGAUUGUAUCCACCAGUCAUUUCUCAAUCUUUAGGUAUGUUUCUAAUAUAUCAUGCCAUAUGGGAGUGGCUUCUAAGGGUAAGUUGUGCAGCAUAAAAUUAAUCAGAAACACAUAAAAGUACUAAAAUUCUUCAUCACUUGUUCCCCUCAAGCUUGGAAUAAUUUCUUCCCAUAAUGUGUUGGAAGCAAACUAUUUUACCUAUCCAAAAAAAAAAAAAAGCUUUUCAAAGUCACAUAACCAAUACCACUUGAAAUUUAACUACAAAACUGCUAGCCAAGAUCAACAAUACUACCUACACAAAGUGAGUAAUGAUCAACUAGUUAUCACUAAAAAACAGAUAGGCCAGAUUACCAGAAAAUCUAAACAAAUUGAUCAAUUAUAAUUAAAAAAACUAAAAAGAAAGGCAGGACAGAACUUACAUGAAUGACAAGGACUGGACAGUUUACCAAGCCAAUUUUGUCAAUAUUCUGCAAAUCAAAAAAUUGUUUGUCAAGAAGAAAGCGCAGGGCACGUGGACAUAAGUACUAUCGAUUUUUACCUUGUAGAUGUCAAACCAAUAUGUGCGUUUGACAGGAUAUAGUACUCGUAAUCCAGAAAGAAUGGGACUAUGUAAAACUACAGCCCUCAAGUUCGGCACUCGUGAGGCAAGAUCAAUCGUCGGACCACUUCCAACAGAUUGGCCAUAUAAGAUUAUGUCCUCAUCAGCUACUCCAUACUGUUCCUUGAGACAAUUAUAUGCUGCUUCAAUGUCUGCAUAUGUAUUAUACUCAGUGGGCUGUACCAUGAAAGAAUAAAUGCCAUAUUAAGUGACUGUCAAUAGUAUGGGGGGCAUAGUAGUAUAUUUUCAAGCUUCAAGCGAAAAAAAAUUGUGAAAGAGUAAUAAUGAAACAAAUUUGGAGCAGACCUUUCCUGUGGAUCUUCCAUAACCAGCAUAGUCAUACCUGCAAUCACAUUAACCAACUCAAGUUAAUUCAAGAAUUAACAAGUAAUAGAAUAAUAAAUAAACAAUACAUAUAUAUUGUUCUUGAGGAAGAAUAGUUAUGCAAGCUCGACAUGAAACACAGUAAGUAAUAAUACAAAAAGGCUCUCUUCUCUUUUAUAAGCUAGCACUGGUAAUUAUGACACCAUUUUUUACAGGGUUCCAAAUCAUAAAACUUAACAGAAUAAGUAAAACCGGAAAAAUCAAAAAGAUUUCGAUGUCUAACUGAUGCAGAAGUGGACCAUGACAACAAAGGUGGCCAGAUAGAUCACAUAACGGAUUAGCUUCAAAUCAGUUGGAUAUUUUUGACCACUGAUUAUUGUGAACUUACUAGCUAGCUGCAAGCAGGUAAAGUAAAAGCAAGAAAAAAUAAGACGUGAAAUACAUUCAACAAGAUAAAUUGUUGCCAUAUAAAUUUGAGCCUGUGCAGUUUGACUCCAAGUUGAGUUCAAUCAAAUCAGUUUUAAUUUUUACUUAUUUUUGGGCGGUCUUUAGCUUACUGAUGUUUAUAUUAGAAAUUUUAGGCUAAGAAAUUGAUAACUCCCUACAAGUUAGUUAUAUUUCUAGAUUUGUUUAUUUCAGUCCCAACUCCCAAGUAGGGUUAGGUUUUCAUUUUUAACCAUAAAUAGGACCCAAUCAAGGGUUUUGAAGGGCGCUGAUUUGAGCUAUAUGAAAUAUAGCAUUAGGUCUUAUUAUUUUCUCUACUCUGUGACCUCGAUUGGCGAUCUUCUUCCUCACUUAUGCCUCAAUUGAGCACUUCGUCUCAAUUUUUCCUCUUCUUUUUCACCCUCUCUUCUUUCCAUUUCCCUUUUCUCUUUACCCUCCUCUACAGCCAAGGUUUAAAGUGCCGUGGCACUGGGGCGUGCCGUGGCAUGGGGGCGUGCCGUUAUGUCCUUGGCACGGUACGGCACAGACACACUUGCGUGCCGACACAUGGCACGCUUGCAUGCCGAUAGAUACGCAUGACCUUCUACUGGCACGUUUUGGCAUGGACUUAUUUCAAUUUGUUUGAUUCUAAUAAACUCUUAUAAUAUUAUUUUGAAAGAUUUAAAUAAAAUAAUUAUGAAUAUUUACUAUGUAUACCUUACUAUACUCAUCAAUUAACAUGCAUGAAAACUUUUUGUAAGUAAAGUACAGCUAUACCUGAUGUAGAAUAGAAAUUAAAAUAUAAUAAUAAAAUUCACAAGUACAAUAAUUAUUUAAAUUUACAUCUUUACAUAGAAAUGACUGCUUAAUUCCACAUAGAUCGUCACGCUUGAUCAUAUGGCAUAUUGUUAUCUGCAGAUACAAGAUUUAUUUGACAAUGUUGAUAUAAGUAUUGCUGGUAUUGUGAGAAAUUCAUAUAUUCCCAAUAUUACAUCUAUAUUUUUUGUUCUUUUAUUCUUUUUAAAAAUAUCUGAUCAAAAUUUGUUUAGGAGAUCAAUUUUUGUUUCUGUGAUUCACCGAAAACUUCGCGGUGCGACAAAUUUUGACAAAAUAUUUUGUGAAGAAAAAAUAGAUGUCAGUAGUGGGCUACGGGCUCGGGCCGAAUAUGUCAAUUAAAAAUUUGGUCCUAUAUUGAUAAAUAAGAAGUUAAAAAUAUCCGCCAAAAAGCAAAAAAAAAAUGUUGAAAAAAAGACAACAAAGUGAAAAGAAAAAAGACAAUAUAGGUGGACUGAGGGGGGGGCUCGAAACCCUAGAGGACAAAAGAAAAAGAAAAAGCCAAAAAGGAAAAAAAAAAUUGGCAGCACGCACGAUACGUGCCGCCGGCACGCACCUGCUUGCCGCUUUGUCUCAAGCGGCACGCAUGUGCGUGCCGCGAGACAGAGGGGGUCCGAGACCCCCCCGUACCGUGCCCCCUUGACCCCUUCUUGGGGGCAGGGUACGGCACGCCCCCGUGCCAUACGGCACGGGCGGCGCUUCAAUCCUUGCCUGCGGCUACUACAAUUCUGCGUUGCUACAAUAAUAUUUCCGCUAUAGUGCUUCUGCUAUAGUAGCAUGCUAUAAUACUACUAUUUGUUGUGCGUUGAUUACUGAUUUCUAUUUUCUACUGCUGUCGAGGCCCCUGUUUCGCUAAUCAGAAUGUCUCAAAGGACUUUUUUGCUGUCCCAUGCGUUGUCUACUAUAUGAUCUGCCGUCAAGAAUUCUCAGAGCUUUGACUAUUAUUGUUUCAAACCAGUUAUCUAGAUCGGAAUUUAGGUUUAGUUUCUUGAUGUGGUCUGUAAGUUUUUGUACUUGGGAUUUGGGACUUCUAUCACAUUUCUAACAACAUGUACAUCAUCCUAAGGAGCGAAACAGCAUGCUUUCUCGUUACAAUUAUCUCGAUCAUGAGGUUGUCAUUGAUUUUGUUGAAUCCUUAUCUGUAAAAACAUACUGACCUGAUAUUUAGUUGAUAAUUCUGUUUUUCAAAAGCAUAUGUCUGACAGCUUUACAUCUUCAGACUAUGGUUCAAAGGCAUCAGGAGUGAACAGUAAAUGAAGAUGAACGGCAAGGAGUCAAAGGACAUAAAAACUUGGGAUCAAAGCAAUGUACCUAUGACAGGAUUUGGAUGCAUAUACAAGUGGGAGAGCACCAUAGUAUUUUCCAACAUUAAAUGAAAGAAUAAAAAAACACCUUCUUCUUAAUCUCUCGGCCUUGUAAAAGAAAAGAAACAAUAGAAAAGCCCACAUUAAGCUUCUCGCAUUUUUAGAACGUUAGACCUAAAAUACACGAUUACACGAUUAGCGAUCCUCAUCUUUCACUUUAUCAGUCAUGUGAGAGAACAACAAAGGAGAGCAUUAAGCCAAUACUCCGGCCCAUCCCAAGGGCCCGCGGUCUCUUAAGAUGAAAAAAAGCAGCAUCAUUGACUCCAGAGUUAGAGCAGCAAGAGAAUGACCAUUGGAAGCAGCUAUGGUACACGCAUUCUCAGUAGUAUUCGCAGUAAUAGUCUGCAUAGCAUUUCAUACUGCAGAAGCACUGAAAAGAGAAGUGUGGAUCUCGGUCCUGAAGGAGAGGCAUCGAUUCGCACCCUACAAAUACGGUUUACCUCUGAGCCACUCGUGAGCCACUCUUGAGUCAUUCUAAGUCACUCUAGCAAGCAAAAGGAGCCAGCAGAAAAGAACCGGUAUGUGAAUACAGUGAAUUCUGAUGCCAAUUUGGUUGGUUUUUCUACAAUAGAUCAUUCUCGCAUCUAACAAUAUGCACUGAAGAAUCCCUUAAGCAAAAUACAUUCCAUUAUAUAACAAACUUUCCUAGCGUAAGAGACUCCAUGCUUAUCCACCAUUAAAAUUUUCAUUUACAGUUCAGUGUAGACCAAAUUAGGCAACUAAAUCAAUGAUCUACCGUAAUGUAACCACAAUCAUAAAACUUAAUCAAAGUUUCCCCCAAAUAAAACGAACUAAAAAUUUACCAAAACGGAAAAGGCAAAUUUAUAAAGAGGAUCAUGAUCCGGCCACUAAAAUAGGAAAAAAAAAAAAAAAAAAANAGAAAAGAAAAAAAAAAAAAAAAUCUACCCCAUGAGAUUGACGCGGAGGCGGUGGCUGAGCUCGACGAAGAGCCCGAACAUCUGGCCGAGGUCGGCGGCGUUCCCGUGCGAGUAGAGCAGCGUCGCCGUGGCCCUAGGGUUCCGCACGUACACCGCGACGAUCUCGUGCCCCCGCCGCGUCCGCAGCCUCAGCACCUCCGCCUCCUCCGCUUCGACCACCGCCUCCGCCUCCGCCUCCGCCGCCGCCCUCCGCCGCCGGCCCCGCCGCGCCGCCGCCGCCGCCGCCGCGGCGGAGGAAGGAGCGGAGAGCUCGGGGAUGAGGAGUUUUCCGGUGGCGUCGUCGGCGAGGAGGCGGUAGGAGGGCGGGGCGGGGGGGAAGAAGGCGAAGCGCGCGGCGAUCGAGGAGGUCACGCCGCCCAUCGCCGCCGCGAUCGCGAUCGCGAUCGACUCCAACGCCCAAAGCUACUGCAACAGCUACAACCACCACUACAAUUCAUGAGUAGGAGGAAGGAGGAGCGCGAGUACUCCCACCCUCGCCCUUUGGCUUUGGAAUUGGAUCGAUCGAUCCCCGGCCCUUUCUUUCUUUCUUUUAUCGUCGGAUCUAAAAGCUUCCUUUCUCGGAAAAAGGAUGAGAGAGAGAGAGAGAGAGAGAGAGAGAGAAAAGUUUAGGAGAGCUCGAGGUAGGACAAGGACGGAGAGAGAGAGAGCAUUGAAAAAAAAUGCCAACAAACAACGUAUUCGGCUGUACUACUUUCGAGAAAGAAAUUUUUUUUUGUACACUGAUCAAAAGAUGAAUGUACAUACAGAUACAGAUCGUUUAGUUAGAUAUAAUAAAAAAUAUAUACAUAGAGAUACAUAAAUUGAGUGAUUGUGCAGUUAUAAUUAUAUAUAUUUUUUAUUUAAUUAGAUGCAGUAAAAAAUACUAUAAUUAUAAAUUAUUUAUUUAAUUAGAUACAGUAAAAUGUACUAUAAUUAUAAAUUAUAUAUUUAGUUGCAUAUAAUUAAGAAGUGCAUUUUAAAGAUUUUAUCACUUUAUAUUUGUUUGGUUUAGAGGUCUGUCGCAUAAUUGAAUAUUUUUCACGAAACAAAAUUUGCUACUCUCAAUAUUUGACAGUGCAAAAGAUCAUAAAAUGGAUCUUCUACGAUUGAAUGUGAUAAUGUUUAAGAAGAAAAAUAUAACGAGAGCCAAAACGAUAAAAUAGAGUUUUUAUUCAACAUUUCAUAUGUUAAAUUGUGUGAUUUCAAUGACAGAAAGACCUAUGAACAAAUACAUUUGUGAGUAAGUUUUGAGUAAGAAACUAUGAACUAGAGGGACUAAAAUGUAAUUAUUUCAAAAUGAGACAAAAUGGCAACUUGCGAAUAACUUAUCAUUUUAUGUAAAAAAUUUUACACCCUGUUUGGAUUGGGUACAAGAUGGAGUAUAAGGGCCUUAUACCCUAUCUUGUACCCAAACACGUUUUGGGCUAGGUAGGAACUAUAGUUCCCACCUUUUGUACCGAGGGCAUGUCCGAAAAGCCCCCGCGCCCUCUCGUCUCUUUUCUCUUCGCCUUCUUCUCCAUCUAAGGAAACCACCAUUUUCUCCGGUUGGUCUACUUAUUCUCUUCACCUUCUUCAUUCCUCCUCGUGGCUUGCACAAUCUGAGGAGGUUGGUUCAUCGAGCCGAACCCUAGAUCUGAGGGUCUCUCGUCGCCGCCGCCUCAUCCCGAACCACAGAUCUGAGGUAAAAUUGCCGCAUCUUCGUCUUCUUCUCCGCACCUCCUCCCAAAAUUCCUUCUCGUAGCUUCGGUCGCCGCCGCCUUUGGGGCAAAACUGCUGCCUCGGGGGAGAAAUCCGUGCCGCCUAUGCCCGAUCCCUAGCUCUGAGUUGCGGGUGAUCUUCUUCUCUGUGCUUGAUCUUCUGCCAUGUUCUUCUUUGUGCUUCCUUCAACCCAAAGUAAACAGUGUAAUGUUGCAGUGAAUGAUCUUCGGCUCUGUGAUUUAUCGACUUCUCUGUGCUUCUCUGUGCUUGAUUGUGCUUCAAUGUGCUUCCUUGUGCUUCUUGUUGGUUCCUAUGUUCUGUGCUUCCUUAUAGUCGAAAAACUAGCUCAUUAUCCAUGUAUUUUCCAUUCCGUCACCAACAAAGAAAAUUAUCAAAACAUCAAAUUUUUCCCAGUCGAAUGCCAUUUAUAUUUCACGCAAUCUACAUCUGAAUCUGCUUCAUCCACAUCUUACCAUCACCAAAUACAUUUCCAAUUACAUCCUCCAUUGACACACAUGAGCAAAAAGAUCCUCGAACCACACAUUUACAGGAUCUGUAAGGAAGUGAAUUCUCGAAAUACGAAGAUUGUACUUCAUCCAGGACCGACUAAUUGUCGAAAGUAUACCCUUUGU